UGUGGGGCCAUCAUGCCACCAGUAUGUGCCAUCAUACGGUUGGGAUCUUCCAUGUUGUUGCGCGGCGCACGCUGCUAAAAUGCAGAGUCUGAAACACAAUAUAAAUAUAGACGGGAUAUGCAUUAACAAUCAUGUCUUAAAAAAACCCCGCCUAAAUGACAAAGAAAACAGGAACUGCUUACGGUAGAGGUGAAAAGCAAUGCGUGUACGUCCCACUGUCAACAAUAUUCAAUUGAAAACUAAAAUCAAAAGCGAGCGUUGGACCAACGGCCACACAAGCUACUACGAAACACAUGCAUCUCUCUUAUUUGCUCUCUUCGCGUGCCAGGCGCACAUCGUAAACGCGUUUUACUCACUGCAGUGGGCCUAUUGACAAAUAUGGAUGAACAUCAGGCAAUCAGAUGCGCUACAGUUGUCAAUGCAACUACUUAUCUCUUAACAAAAAACAAA